AGCAGAGGCGUGGCUACAGCCGGAGCCAAAAUGGCUACCGCGGGGUGUCGGUUUCACAAUUCGCACUGAUUCAUCCUAGCUAAACUCGCUAGCUCUACCGGCGGAAGCAGCAGCAGCAGCAGCAGAGAGCGACUGACUGUUGAAUAUGGCUGAACUUGAGCAGCACGAAGGAGCGCAGGACCUCGAAAAGAAGAUUGAGGAGACGAGGCUGAGAUUCAACAACGAGUUCGUCCAAGAUUCAACAGAAAAAUAUGACUCCAGAGACGUGGAGAGGCUUCAGACAGACGAUGCUCUGGUGGAGGGUUACCUCACCUGGAGGGUUUAUGUUGUUGACGAUGCCUUGAAAAUGAUCGAUGAUAGUUUCCAGUGGAGAAAAGAAUUUGGUGUGAAUGAUCUCACUGAGAGCAGCAUUCCCAGGUGGAUGUUUGAGACUGGUGCUGUCUACCUCCACGGCUAUGACAAAGAAGGCAACAAGCUCUUCUGGUUCAAAGUAAAGCUUCACUCCAAGGAUACAAAAACAAUUGUGGACAAGAAGAAGUAUGUUGCCUUCUGGCUGGAGCGGUAUGCAAAGAAAGAACCUGGGAUGCCGCUUACUGUUGUGUUUGACAUGGCAGAGUCCGGCCUCAGCAAUAUAGACAUGGAGUUUGUGAAGUACAUUAUAAAUUGCUUCAAAGUUUAUUAUCCAAAGUUUCUGUCCAAAAUGAUCAUUGUGGAUAUGCCUUGGAUCAUGAAUGCGGCAUGGAAGAUUGUGAAGUCGUGGUUGGGUCCUGAGGCAAUCAGCAAACUAAAGUUUGCUUCCAGAUCUGAUGUUCAUACUUUUAUAAGCCCCGAGUACCUGCCAACUCACAUGGGUGGAACGGACCCCUUCAAGUAUAGCUACCCACCUCUUCCUGAUGACGACUUCCAAACACCCAUCUCUGAGAAUGGACCUAUUGUUAGUGAGGAUGACACAGAGAGCAAAGAGGGUGAAUUGGAGGUCAAAGAUGCCCUUGAGUCCAGCUUCAACUCCGAGAUUGCAGUCAAACCCAAAAAGGUGAAUUUCCUGGAAGACAGUGUGAAGUCAGAGGACAGUGAUAAAACAGACACGAGUGCCAGGACCAAAGGAGCCAGGAAGCCACUGACCACCUUCAAAGGCCCUUUGCUAGACGUUAGGUGCUCAGAAGGACCCCACAAUCCAGUUUUGUCCCCAGCACCAACAGCAGCCCCUGCAGAGGAGCUCAGCUUUGGUUCUGGAGAGACCGAGAAGAAAUGUCUCAUUAUCCUGAGCAAUGUGACCAAAAAUCAAGUGGCCUUCAAGGUACGGACCACAGCACCUGAGAAGUACAGAGUGAAGCCCAGUAGCAGCUGCUGUGAACCAGGAGCUUCCAUUGAAAUAGUGGUUUCCUUACAUGGAGGAUCUCAGGCUUCGCCGCAGGACCGAUUUUUGGUCAUGGCGGCUGAGAUGGACAACGUUGGAUCACAAGAACUGGCCCAGUUCUGGAAAGAAGUACCAAAAGCCAAGAUCAUGGAACACAGAUUGCGCUGCCAUAUUCUGGAGAGCUUCAAACCAGCAGUCAGUUUUCUGAGGGACAGUCCUGUGGAUACAGGGACCAGCGGGCAACAGGAAUUAGACAUAAUGCUCAUGCGAAUGACGGCCUGCAACUCUCGGCUAGAGCAGAAGCUGAACACGUGUCUCUGGCUGCAGAAGGUUCUCACGGUGCUGGUCCUAGUCCUCGUGGCGCUGAACCUGCUCUGUCUCUACCUGCUGGGCAAGGCAUCUUGAUAUCACCCCGGCUCCCUCCGCCUGCUUUUAGUCGACCACAGACACACGAGACUGUUCCAGCCUCGGUCGAUCGCCUGAGGGACGGUCGCCGUGCGCUCUGCCUCCCCGACUCCCCCCCACAGGCUGCCGUCAUAGAGAGGAGGAGCGCAGACUUUAGGGACAUCCUCUCUGCCAGGCUGUUGGGAGGCGCGAGGUCCAGCGGCCGUUUGCCCUCUGGGUUCCUGAGGGAGCGGUCGGCCCCGUGGUCGAGCAGCAGAGACACCAGCUCCGGGUCGGACAGACGAGCUGCGAUGUGCAGGGGCGAGUCACCAGACACACUGUUGUUCACACCGGCUCCUGAAGGAGAGAGGAGACUGAUGAGGUUUGAUACCCUCACGUUACAUAACUGCAGGAGAGCAUCGCUGACAGUUCACUUCAUGCACGGAAUAUCUUUACUAUUCAUAUUAAAGACCUGGUGGUGUUUUCUAAUUAAACUGAAUUCACUCAGGUCAUGAAUAUUAAAAGAGAUAAGACCAAAGAAUGAUUUCUUUUACUUGAAACAAAGCACAACAUGAAUUUUAAUUGCGUAAACUUCUGAGUACAAUUUUCGUGUAUUUUACAUUUAACACCACCUUAUACUUCACAAACGUGUACUCUGUUAUAUUUAUGUGCCAUAUUAAAGUUUUUCAAAUGAUUAGCUACAGUAGUUGUAUGUAAUGAUUCUGCAGUGGUGGAGGAAGAAGUAGUAACUCUGCAAUAUGUAUACUACAAAUAUUAUUUACAAGUAAAAUUGUUUAGAAUGUCACAAGUAAUGUAUUAACAGCAAAAUGAAAAACCUUUAAAUUGUAUGUGUUCAAAAUUUCUAAAAUAUUCGGUAAGUAUGACUGUUAUGUAACUGGUGAAGUAAAAAUUACAAUAUUUCCCUCAGGUAAAGUAAAUUUGUACCAAAGUACAGUACUUGUGUAAAUGUACUAAGUACACGUUCCAGUAGAGGAUCAGUGUAAAUGCAGCGGAACCAGAUCUACGUUCUAACCCCACAACCACAGAUUGAACCCCACUUGAGACGAUUCAUUAUAUUUCACUGAGCCUCCAUCGGGAGACACAAAGGGGUUUUUCACAUAAGCAGUAGUUCUCUCCAUGACCUGUAAACAGACUUAGAUGUAUAAAAUCAGUGGAAUUCCCCUGUGAGUACAUUUUACCAGAGUAUUUUUACACUGUGUUUAUUUUACUUUGACUAAAGACAUUUAGUUUGUUUAAUUUGUCUGUUGUACAUGUGUGUUUUUUUAAUUAUUUGACAUCAUUUACAAAACGUGAUCCAAGUUACUUUUCCUCUUGAGCCUAAAAGAGCAGUGCACGUGUGUGAGAGGUCGGAGGGAGAAGCCUUCUUACCGAGCUGCAGCAGUUUCCUCACAGUACCCGGGUGCUGAUUGGAACAUGCAACGUGCAGAGGGGAACCCGACUGUUCAAUGCACUGAUCCACAUCUGCACCGUGCUGAACGAGAGGAGCAAUGCACUCUGGGUGACCUGGAGAGGUUUGAUCAGAAUCAUCACAAAGAGAAAUGAUGUGCUGGAAGGAAUCUGCUUCUUUGAACUCUGCCUGUGAGAAAAAUGUGCAGUCGUUUUUCUUUGUAGGCCACAAUAACACGUAGUUUUUAUACUUUUUUACACUGUUUCAAAGAGCGUUUUCUGAUGUUUUGGCUCCAUGUGCAUUUUGUUGUGACUGGCCAAGCUGCUUCAGCAUUUAUUAUCCCGUGCGUAUAUUGCAGAGGAAUGCGACCCCCUAACCUUUGGCUGCAGCCCGGUGGAUUGGAGAGCUGGAGUGGCUGGUCCCCACGGGGGUCGCUCCGUGCUGAAGGAGCAAUGAUACGCAGGUCACGUGACCCCGGGCGCAGGCCUCUGUCAGAGGAGAUUUUCCAUCCACCGUCAAUCUGUUUACC